UACGUAGGGACCGAGCGUUGUCCGGAUUCAUUGGGCGUAAAGAGCUCGUAGGCGGCCACUCAAGUCGAAUGUGAAACCUCGAGGCUUAACCUCGAGCCUGCAUUCGAUACUGGGCGGCUAGAGUCUGGUAGGGGGAUCUGGAAUUCCUGGUGUAGCGGUGGAAUGCGCAGAUAUCUGGAGGAACACCGGUGGCGAAGGCGGCAUCCUGGACCGACACUGACGCUGAGGAGCGAAAGCCAGGGGAGCAAACGGG
rnacentral:rRNA from 1 species